GAGUAACACGUGUGCAACCAACCCCGUACCGGGAGAUAACCCGCGGAAACGUGGACUAACACCCCAUAAGACCUUUCCCCCGCAUGGGGGGGAGUUUAAAACCCCGGUGGUACGGGACGGGCACGCGCGACAUUAGGUAGUUGGCGGGGUAACGGCCCACCAAGCCGACGAUGUCUAGGGGUUCUGAGAGGAAGGUCCCCCACACUGGAACUGAGACACGGUCCAGACUCCUACGGGAGGCAGCAGUGAGGAAUAUUGGUCAAUGGGCGAGAGCCUGAACCAGCCAAGUCGCGUGAGGGAAGAAUGGUCUAUGGCCUGUAAACCUCUUUUGUCAAGGAAGAAUAAGCGGCACGAGUGCCACCUUGCCAGUACUUGACGAAUAAGCAUCGGCUAACUCCGUGCCAGCAGCCGCGGUAAUACGGGGGAUGCGAGCGUUAUCCGGAUUUAUUGGGUUUAAAGGGCGCGUAGGCGGGACGACAAGUCAGCGGUAAAAGACUGCAGCUAAACUGUAGCACGCCGUUGAAACUGUCGACCUGGAGACGAGACGAGGGAGGCGGAACAAGUGAAGUAGCGGUGAAAUGCAUAGAUAUCACUUGGAACCCCGAU
rnacentral:rRNA from 1 species